UUGGCCAUGUUCUGUUAUAAUCUCCACCCAGCACAGCCAGAAGAGGACUUAUGUAUACUCCCUCUCCGGCCUCAUCAGGCUGCUGAUUGUCCCGCACACCUGUCACCAUCGUCUCGCGCACCUGCGCCUCAUGACACUCACCUUGACUCCACCACCUCCUUGAUUAUCUUCCCUAUAUCUGUCACUCCCCUUGGUUCUUUCCUCAGGUGAUAUUGACUCUGUCUCAUGACACUCACCUUGACUCCACCACCUCCUUGAUUAUCUUCCCUAUAUCUGUCACUCCCCUUGGUUCUUUCCUCAGGUGAUAUUGACUCUGUCUCAUGACACUCACCUUGACUCCACCACCUCCUUGAUUAUCUUCCCUAUAUCUGUCACUCCCCUUGGUUCUUUCCUCAGGUGAUAUUGACUCUGUCUCAUGACACUCACCUUGACUCCACCACCUCCUUGAUUAUCUUCCCUAUAUCUGUCACUCCCCUUGGUUCUUUCCUCAGGUGAUAUUGACUCUGUCUCAUGACACUCACCUUGACUCCACCACCUCCUUGAUUAUCUUCCCUAUAUCUGUCACUCCCCUUGGUUCUUUCCUCAGGUGAUAUUGACUCUGUCUCAUGACACUCACCUUGACUCCACCACCUCCUUGAUUAUCUUCCCUAUAUCUGUCACUCCCCUUGGUUCUUUCCUCAGGUGAUAUUGACUCUGUCUCAUGACACUCACCUUGACUCCACCACCUCCUUGAUUAUCUUCCCUAUAUCUGUCACUCCCCUUGGUUCUUUCCUCAGGUGAUAUUGACUCUGUCUCAUGACACUCACCUUGACUCCACCACCUCCUUGAUUAUCUUCCCUAUAUCUGUCACUCCCCUUGGUUCUUUCCUCAGGUGAUAUUGACUCUGUCUCAUGACACUCACCUUGACUCCACCACCUCCUUGAUUAUCUUCCCUAUAUCUGUCACUCCCCUUGGUUCUUUCCUCAGGUGAUAUUGACUCUGUCUCAUGACACUCACCUUGACUCCACCACCUCCUUGAUUAUCUUCCCUAUAUCUGUCACUCCCCUUGGUUCUUUCCUCAGGUGAUAUUGACUCUGUCUCAUGACACUCACCUUGACUCCACCACCUCCUUGAUUAUCUUCCCUAUAUCUGUCACUCCCCUUGGUUCUUUCCUCAGGUGAUAUUGACUCUGUCUCAUGACACUCACCUUGACUCCACCACCUCCUUGAUUAUCUUCCCUAUAUCUGUCACUCCCCUUGGUUCUUUCCUCAGGUGAUAUUGACUCUGUCUCAUGACACUCACCUUGACUCCACCACCUCCUUGAUUAUCUUCCCUAUAUCUGUCACUCCCCUUGGUUCUUUCCUCAGGUGAUAUUGA